CCUUUCAUUAUGGUAUUUCCGAACAAGUUCCUGGAUAACAAGCCUAAAGGUUUUCUUAUUGAUGAUAUCGACGAUGGUCUUGAUAUUCAAAGAUUUGUUGUGAAAUAGGCGCCUGGUGGGUGAUAGGUGGAUAUUAGAAUGAUGGGGAAAGAGCUGCCAUACUUGACUAGAACCGAAGGAAGAUCUCUCACACCUAUAAGUAAGUGGGUAAUGGAAACUAGAUGUCAACGAGCGGCACAUAAUUGAAAUUGGACAACCUCACCCCCCAGUGAAUGUAGUCGGAUGGACAGAUCGACUGUCGCAUGAUCGAGUGUGAGCGCAUGAUCGACUGUUAAGGUAGGACCUUCAACAAAGAGGGUUGAUCAACAAGUUCAGACUAUUUUCUGUCAAUUCGGCUGUCCCAAGAUUGUAUCAUUUCGAUUAUCAAAUCCCAAUGUCUUGGUCUUGAAUCAUUCGAUAUAAGGGCUUCACUUCAAAGAAAGAGGCAUAGGAACAAUGUCCCGAAACUGAAGAUGAGACUGAAAGCAGCCAUACGAGAUUAGAGAAUAGAAAGAAGGGUUCCAAACAAGCAAGAAAGGGUUCAAUGAACGCUGCAGUUCACGAUGCAUAGCUUCCAACUAGCUCGGAAAGGCAAGAACCCUACUUUAGAGGUAUAGGUUGCAAAGAGGGGUUGCUAUUGAAUCGUCUGUGAACGAAUCUGCUGCACAUGAAUGCACAGACUAAACUGUUGGAGGAAGAGAAGUUGACAACUCCGCUCUUACAAAUGCAAUUGAAUUAGCUCUGAGGGAUUAACCGGAUUGCACUGAUUAGGCAGAAAGAUGCCAUUGACCUAUGUUAUAUGAGACUGUGGAGCACGAAGGGCAGCCUUUCCCCAGGCUGUCUUAAUCUGAAUGGCAGCGAUUGCCAUUUGAUAUAGGCUAUUUGCCUUGCUAUUCCUCCUCGUCUAUUAAAAAAGAGAAGGUAAGAAAGUCAUAUCGGAAAGGAAGAAGAGCGCAUUUAGAUUAACAAUCUCAUUGCCUUUUCCUCUUGUUUAUUCUAUUCUCUGUCAAAGAAUGCAUAUUCUAGCACCAUCCGCUCCUCUAACGGACUCUAAGAAGGGACCUAGUCUAAAUCCUAUAUGCUAGAAAUGGUCUAUUUUAAAAGGCAUCGAUUUACUUGACUACCCGGAUCGUCGCCGGGUUAAGCACUUAAGCUAAGGCAUAGGGCGUAGCGAGUAAAAGAGGCAAAGUCAAGCAAUCAGGAGCGUAGCGGAUAAUCUGUGCAAGAAGUGACUUACCCUUUUGAAAGCAACGGAAGAUCCUGAAAUUUAGACUUUAUUUUAUUUUAUACACUCUUAUCUUAAACGAAGAUAUUCGUGGCCUCAUGAAAACUAUUCCCUGAGGAGUAAGCCUAAUAGUUUCAGAGGGGGGUUGCCCGAUUCCUUAUGUGAUGCCUUUAUUUGAUUCCGAAGUGCCUUUGGCAUGAUCGUUUCGAAGUUAUUUCAUCUUUCAUAAGAUAGUCUUUUUCUGAAAUCAGAAUAGUUGUUGAGCGGAACCACCACCUUGGUUGGGAUAAGGGUGCAGCAGCAGUGGUAAUAGCAGUAGAACCGACCACAAUGGAAACAGCUUGAGCAAAUCCCUUUCUCAUUAUGAACCUACUUUCUUUCGUCACGUGAAGAAGCCCAAGCAAAGGAACUACAUCGAAAGACAAAGCCCUUCAAAACUACCAGCAGCACGAAGAAGAAAAAGACAGACGGAAAAAGAAAGCUAAACGAUUGACUUCUUUUAUGCCUAAGGCAGAGGAUGUUUUACACUCUACUUUCAAAGUCAAAUUCUAUAAGAUAAAGAGAGUCUUCCAUUGAUCUAUCUAUAGGCAUAGGCUAGUCAUUAGCUUGAGAUCGGCCAAUUCGGGUCUUAUGCGAUGCGGAAUUUCUCCUUUCUCUGAGGAAUGAAUGCUCCCAUCGGCCUCUACUUCUAGCUCUGAUUCGCACCUCUCCUAGGCCUCAUUUUCCUCCGCUCCUUGUUCGUUCCUCACCCUUUCUCUUGUCCACAAUCGCCUUUUGACUAGAGGUAGAGAGAGAGAAAGCUGCCUCCCUCUAAUCUUGAUACUACAGUCUCCAUAUCGGCUAAUAAUAAAUAAUAGCAAUAAGGCAGAUCUAGCCUUAAGAAGAGAGUGAGGAAAGGGCCUAGCUUCUCAAUAAGUCAUUCAAGGAACUAACUAUACUUAAGAUGUGAGCUAUACCUAUUCCUUUGAGCUAUACCACCUAUUCCUUCUUUUCUUAUCUCUUCCCUUUCGGGCCGGAUCGGAUAAAGAAAGGAGCUAAAGAAUGAAAUAUUCAGAAAAGUAGUCCUUACAUUUACAUCCCUCCGCAAGCAUAAGUAGAGUCUCUGACUUCAAUAGCCAGUCUGUACUAAUAGAUUGCACAGUGCCCAGUCCUCUAAGAUCUAUUGGCUGAGUAGUCUCUAACUUCCGUAUUCUCCUUCCUUUACUUCCCUUCCCUACUCUUUUGAAGUCCGUUUGCCAAUGCGUGAACUUCUUUUAUUUAUGGGAAAAAGCGUGCUUUGAUCGCUUAUUCCGCACUUAUUAUACCAAUUCAAAUCUUGCAUUUGCAUGCCCUAUUAUAAACACUAACUGAAUGAAACAAGCACUUUUCUAACAAAACAAAUUGUGCCACAUCUUCUGAAAGACUCCUUGGAACAACUGACCAAAAGCAAGCAACCUUUCUCCCGAUGUGAGCUUAAAAAGAAUGGAAUGGAAUCCGAUGCGUAAGUGCCUUCGCUCCCCUAAGCGGGAUGAACUCAAACUCCUAACAAGGUAGGCAAGCAAAGACGGGUUAUGCCUUCCAACCCGAAAACAGUGCUUAUUACGACGACAGAGUCAAUGGCACAAACGGAUUCAAUAGCUGGGUAAUGCCGACAACUUCAACGAGAGUGAACAGCUUCUUCGUCUUAAACGGAUCAAUGGCAUUGAAUAAAAGCAUUUCUCGCCCUAGGUCUGGGAUCUUUCCCAUCUACCAUUCCUCAAAUACAGGAGUUCAAUAGUAGUGCUUUUUCCUCCAACCUUGAGCAAUUCGUGUGAACAGAUUCAGGAUGAAUUUCCAUUAUGCCUAUCGCCUUGAGCUUCCUCCCUUUUCUAGUCUACUUGAAACUUCCGACAACAGCUAAAUCUAUGCACUUGCCUUGGCUCGGUACUCCCCUUCUUUUUAUAAUCCAGUUCAAGCAUCAUCCUAUUAAGGUAUAUUGAUCUGAGAAGGAAGCACUCUUCUAUAAACCUUCGAGAAGGUUCGUAGCCUUGCUAACGGUUUUUCAACCUUUACCUAUGUGCCUAGUGACUGAUACCUAUCACCAGGAGACCCAAGACUAAAUUAGUUGUCCUUCUAAACCCCGUCCCCCUUGGCUAAAUUCUUGUAUUCCUUCACUCAACCUUGGCUUGAUAGGCUUAGCACGAUACUACGGUUCUUCAGGCCCGACUCGGCAUGGUUCACCACGUUCCUCUGCUCUUUUUUUGGCUUGUUAUAGUUUAACCCCGGCUCCUAUGGUCUAUUAUUUCUCUUCUUAAUACCCGACCGCUAGGUUCGUUCGAGAGCACGGUUCCGCUUGGGGCGCUUCUGCAAUAAAUAGAAAUAGCAUAUAUAUAGAAGUGAUAUUUCUAGUCGUCUUGGUAUUGGAUCCGUUUCACCUAUGCUAGAACAAAGAAAUCCAGAAAAUGGAAUUCACCUUGAAAUGGAAAGCAUUUUCUUUCAUGACCGACUGAACGACGACUAAAGCAAGCCUUUCUUUCUGUUCUCUGCCAUUUUCUGAAAGGAUUUGCUGUGAACCUCUGGCGCUCGCUUUAGUGCUCUGUCCCUAAUGGAAUGGAAUAGGAAGAUCUGCCCAUGAUCUAGUGUUCCACAUUUCUGGUAUUGGAAGAAGGAAGUGUCUUGACUCUUACCCAUGCUGAUAGAUCGGUUUACGCACCUCUACUAUUAAAUAAAACAAAAUGAAAGCUAACUGCAGGACCCCGUACUAUUGAUAUAGUCUACUACUCUAACUAAGGCAGUACCUGUACUCUGAUCCUGACCGGCCACGCCUAAUCCCAAGCUAUGAGCUGUCUCACGACGAACUAUUCGAGCGAAAGCUCUGUUCCUUUCUCUUGCUAGGAAAACAUGAGUGCUCUUCCUACCGACAUUGAUAAAUCAAAUCAUACUUACUACGCAUUACUGAGCUGAUCGGACUAGCUCCGUUCGCUUUGCUGGUUCCUGAAUAACACAUUUUCUUUUCUGUGCCGGUACACAAGAAUGCUUCAAUGGACGGAUCAAGAGAAUGAAUCAAGGGAAGGAAAAAGAGAACAGAGAAGUGGAAUGUCUCACAUCGCAGCUGCUGGGAAGGAACCUCUAGCUUCACCUACUACGGAGUGGACAGAUAGAUGAACGAAGCUCUACUGACCACUCCACGCUAACCUGUGGGCUACCGCUUCCAUGCUCGCUCAGCUCAGUGAAACUCUUGCGCUAGAUUACGCUUCGCUUAACUCUAGGGAUGGAAUGGAAAGAUCUAGUAGUUCCAUGCCUGGUAUUGAAAGAAGAAAGCACGCGCAAGAAGACUGCCUGUGACUCCCACUGGCACAUAUUGACAGAUCGGUUACACCUCUACUAUGGAAAAAAUGACUACCACCUAGCAGUAAGCCUUUCCCACCCCCAAGAGAGGGAAUCCUUAAUCGAAAAAGUGAAUCCUGGAAAGGGUCAAAAGCUUAUGUUCCCCUUUCAGUAAAGGGCUUUCUUUAUUAAGGGAAUGCUGUAGCUCUUUGAACAACUGAGCAAUCAGGGGAAGGUACGCUCACCCUUUUGUUUUGGAUCGGUGGGAGAAUGGCGAAUUGCUCAAGUGGACUAUUCGCUUCUAGGCCUUCUUUGAGUAUCGAAUCCGCAAUAAGUCAUCCGGACACUGGAAAGUCUCCCGUCUCCUGUCAAUCUGCGUGAUCUCUAUCUGUCGGAAUCUCUAUCUGUCGUAAAGGUUAGUAAUCUUUCCUUGUCUCUUCUCUCGUGUAAACUAUGCGCUGCUUGCUUCUGGAGUGCGGGAACUGUCACUAUCGCAUCAGUAGGAUCCGCAUUUGUUUGGAAAGUGCUUUGCUGCUCGUUUCAAGGAAUAGCAAGCAGAAAACUACAAAAAGGAAGGGGUAGCACAUAAACCAAGCUAUGAUUUUCUCAAUCGCAUAGAAGAUACGAGUCUUCGCGUACAGAAAAAAGUGCUAUUCCGCACGCAUGAGAUUCCAGAGGGUCCAUUACAUCCACCAACAGAGGAGAGGGUCCAUCCUCCACCAACUGCUAUCAUCCCUGGGCCGACAACACGUACUCCACCUUCUCGACCCUAUCAUUAAGAAAGGCCUUGACGGCUGGAGGGCUCGGAGCUUUCUUCGAUGGAGCUUCAACCUCCUUUCCUGAAAGCUCUUGCAGGAAUUCUGAAACCCGUCUUUAGGUUUGUCUCAAGCUAGGCUAGAAUGUCUUCCCUCUGGAGUGAGUUUUUGGAUUUGUUGAAUAAGCGUGUGCGCUUGUAGCUCGAUAAGGGAGGAUGCUCCCCCGUCCCUCGAUUCCUUCCCUUCCUUGUUUUUUUGUUCCAUUCCAACAUCAGAUAGCGCUGGGUAGGUUGUUCCGGAACCGGAUAACGAUUACGAUCAUCAGACUCUCCAUCUCGUUCACGAACUGGAUCUCGUGUUCACGAACCCGGCUUUGCUGCUGUCUCUCCCUCCUGCUGCUUGCCUCUAUCUCUACUUCUGGGUCUCGAUCUCGAACUCAAACUGAUGCCUAGCUGCCUGAAUCUCUGCUUCCUUCUACUACCAGCGGGCUAGCCUUAGUUAUGAUUUGCAUAUCGAUCCCUUGGUUGGAGGACGGAUCUCGCUACAUACUAAAAGGAUGUUAAUCACCGCAUUGGAACUACCUACCAUGAACCUUCUACCCCGAAAUCCCACCACUUAGAGUCCAUAGGAGGUUGCGGGAUGGGAACUAUCGGGGCAACACCCUACCAAGGGGAAUCCAUCAAAGUUUUUGGCUCGCAAUAAAGCUAGGGUCCUGAUCGAGCAACUAGUAGUCCUAUCUAUCCACCUCUCCAGACACAAUAUCUUGAGUACCUAUGAUGGUGACCACAUCUGCUGGCAUGUGAUGUUUAGACAUAGAAUCGAGUCCUUGUAAAUGGGCAGAGCCAGGUGCUCUUAUUUUACGACGGUAGGGACGAUUGCUUCCAUUACUGACNAG
rnacentral:lncRNA from 1 species